rnacentral:rRNA from 1 species
GACGAACGCUGGCGGCGUGCCUAAUACAUGCAAGUAGAACGCUGAAGGAAGGAGCUUGCUCUUUCCGGAUGAGUUGCGAACGGGUGAGUAACGCGUAGGUAACCUGCCUGGUAGCGGGGGAUAACUAUUGGAAACGAUAGCUAAUACCGCAUAACAGUAGAUGUUGCAUGAUAUCUACUUAAAAGGUGCAAUUGCACCACUACCAGAUGGACCUGCGUUGUAUUAGCUAGUUGGUGAGGUAACGGCUCACCAAGGCGACGAUACAUAGCCGACCUGAGAGGGUGAUCGGCCACACUGGGACUGAGACACGGCCCAGACUCCUACGGGAGGCAGCAGUAGGGAAUCUUCGGCAAUGGACGGAAGUCUGACCGAGCAACGCCGCGGGAGUGAAGAAGGGUUUCGGAUCGUAAAGCUCUGUUGUAAGAGAAGAACGAGUGUGAGAGUGGAAAGUUCACACUGUGACGGUAUCUUACCAGAAAGGGACGGCUAACUACGUG